rnacentral:rRNA from 1 species
UAAACAUCGAUAGUUUUAUAAUCUAUCCGCCCGGGUACUACAAGCAUAAGCUUAAAACCCAAAGGACUUGGCGGUGCUUAAGACCCCCCCAGAGGAGCCUGUUCUAGAACCGAUAACCCCCGUUCAACCUCACCCCUUCUUGUUUUCCCCGCCUAUAUACCGCCGUCGUCAGCCUACCCCGUGAGGGAUAAACAGUAAGCAAAAAUGGUCUAACCUAAAACGUCAGGUCGAGGUGUAGCGCAUGAAGUGGGAAGAAAUGGGCUACAUUCUCUAAAACAGAGAAUACGCACAACACCCUGAAAUGUGUGUUUUAAGGUGGAUUUGGCAGUAAGUUAAAACUAGAGAGUUCAACUGAAACCGGCCCUAAAGCGCGCACACACCGCCCGUCACUCUCCCCAAGCUCCAAUAGUUAUAACCUAAAACAAAACACCUGCAAAGGGGAGGCAAGUCGUAACAUGGUAAGUGCACCGGAAGGUGUGCUUGGAAAAA